UACGGAGGAUCCAAGCGUUAUCCGGAUUUACUGGGCGUAAAGAGUUGCGUAGGUGGCAUGGUAAGUCAGUAGUGAAAGCGUGGGGCUCAACCCCAUAUCCAUUACUGAAACUGCUAAGCUAGAGGAUGAGAGAGGUUAUUGGAAUUCCCAGUGUAGGAGUGAAAUCCGUAGAUAUUGGGAGGAACACCGAUGGCGUAGGCAGAUAACUGGCUCAUUCCUGACACUAAGGCACGAAAGCGUGGGGAGCAAACGGG
rnacentral:rRNA from 1 species